rnacentral:rRNA from 1 species
AGCUGUCAUUGGGUUUAAAGCGUGCGCAGGCGGUUUUGUAAGACAGAGGUGAAAUCCCCGGGCUCAACCUGGGAACUGCCUUUGUGACUGCAAGGCUGGAGUGCGGCAGAGGGGGAUGGAAUUCCGCGUGUAGCAGUGAAAUGCGUAGAUAUGCGGAGGGACACCGAUGGCGAAGGCAAUCCCCUGGGCCUGCACUGACGCUCAUGCACGAAAGCGUGGGGAGUAAACA